GCCAGAGAGCAGCGAUUGGUCAGAGCAUAGAUAUCUAUAGAAGACAGCGCGCUAGCGUAUCUAGUCUAUGUAUAUCUAUGGUCGGCACGUCUGGUAGCAUCUGUGGCUGCUGUUGAUCUUGUUUUUGGAGUAAAACACGGUGGAAGCUGAAUUAGUGAGGAUGACUCCUGCUCCUGUCAUCUCUAAGCUCCUCACACAUCUUUACCUGCACAUGAGGAAAAUCACUCCUGUAGAAUGCAGAUGCACAAUGAGGGACGUCUGCAGAGACUGAGAAAGAGUCUCACCACAUCCUGACAUGAGGAAAAAGACUUUAUUGAAGACUACAAUGAGAAAAACUAUCAGACAGCAGACGGCUGCAUUCAAGUCUGGAGCUGCUGAAUUCAUGGAUGAAUCAUCUGGCACUAGAGAAGAAGACCAUCAAACAUCCACGUCAGCUGAUGGAGGUCCAAGAGUGUCACCAAACAAACAACCUACAGAGUGAAGACCUCCAAUCUGAUUGGACGGCCUCCUAUUCAGCCACAUUUUAGGCUGUUAGAUUGUUCCAGAUAAGACAAGUACAAGAUUCUUCAGAGCCGUUCUACCACGAGCCUGACAGGAAGAACUCCAACAGCUACUGAAUGUUCCUGUGGUUCCCUCAAGGCUACAGGAGGAGUCCUACGAGGACGAGCCGGUCCACCUGAUGGCGGCCAGUCGCUGCAGUUCAAAGCCAACACCGACUACGUGGACUUCUACUGGACCACACGGAGGCCUUCAAACUGGACCAACAAGUUCAGCGACUCCCCGACUCGUGGGUCUGAGGACGCUGCCGAGCCUCGGCUCAGCCGGCCUCCUGUCUGUGGGUGUUUGAGUGCUGAGAGGUUUGUGGAUGCAUGUGAACGUGUCUGUGUUGAAACAGCAGCUUUGGACUCACUAACGCUGGGAAAAACCAAGAGCUC
ensembl:lncRNA